rnacentral:misc_RNA from 1 species
GCAGCGUUCAGUUGGGUUAGUUGGUAGUGGCGGUGGUCGUGAGGUUUGUGUGAGGUGGUGUAAGUCAUCGACUUCUAGGAUAAUUGAGGCGGAGCACCGGCCUACUCUUCUGAACGCUGUCUGUGGCCAGCAUUUCAUAUAGAAGAAAUUUGAUGUCCAUCUCGUUUCACUACAGAUUCCAAAACACAAUUUCCCGAUGACUCGAAGAUAAGGAUUAGCUGCCACAAGAUCAGGGGAAAACGAUGAUGCGUUCUUGAAAAUAAAUCCGUAUGGCUUAAAAGGAGCUACUGUUUUCAAGAGAGCUGUGUUCCACAGAUUUUGAAUUAACCCGAAGGAUUGUGCUCAGACGCAAACGAAGAUGGCUACUAUCGACGGGCGGCCGGCGCAGUACGGCAUCUCGCUGAAGCAGCUGCGUGACCUGAUGGAGCUGCGUGGCCGUGAGGGCAUUGGCAAGGUCAACGAGCUCGGCGGGGUUCAAGAAAUCUGCAGGAAGCUCUACACCUCUCCCAGCGAAGGUCUCAGUGGAUCAAAGGUAGACAUUGAACACAGGCGAGAAACAUUUGGUUCAAAUGUGAUACCGCCAAAACCACCUAAAACGUUUCUGCAGCUUGUUUGGGAAGCUCUUCAAGAUGUCACUCUUAUCAUUUUGGAGGUUGCUGCUUUGGUAUCACUUGGUCUUUCUUUUUAUCAACCAUCAGAUGAUGGAUCUGCACAUUUUGAUGAAGAUGAAGCAAAACAUGGCUGGAUAGAGGGUUUGGCCAUUCUCAUCUCUGUAAUAGUAGUGGUGAUUGUGACAGCAUUCAAUGAUUACACAAAAGAAAGACAGUUUCGGGGUCUACAAAGUAGAAUUGAAGGUGAACACACAUUUUCUGUGAUAAGAGGUGGUGAAGUUAAGCAAAUUUCUGUUGGUGAUAUAGUUGUAGGCGACAUAUGCCAGGUGAAAUAUGGGGAUCUCCUUCCAGCAGAUGGUAUUCUUAUACAGAGCAAUGACCUUAAGGUCGAUGAAUCUUCGUUAACGGGAGAAUCAGAUCAUGUGAAAAAGGGCGAGUCAUUUGAUCCCAUGGUAUUAUCAGGAACUCAUGUAAUGGAAGGCAGUGGCAAGAUGUUGGUAACUGCAGUUGGUGUAAACUCCCAAGCUGGUAUAAUUUUCACCCUUCUGGGAGCUGCUGUUGACCAACAGGAGGCAGAAAUAAAGAAGAAGAAGAAAGAAGCUAAGAAACAGCGGAAGAAGAAGAGCUUGACAGGAGCUGCUGAAGAACCUGAGGCAGCACCUGUUACAGGAAACAGCCACGUGAGUGUCCCAGCUGCACAAAUUACAGACAGAACAGCCAACAAACACAGUGCUGAUGUUCCUCCACCUUCAGAGAAUCACGCACAGGCCCCACCGCCGGAAUCUCACAAGAAAGAGAAAUCUGUACUUCAAGCCAAGUUGACAAAACUUGCAAUACAAAUAGGAUAUGCAGGUUCUAGUAUUGCUGCUUUGACAGUGGUAAUACUUGUUGUGCAGUUCUGUGUUAAAACAUUUGUUUUUGAAAAAGAAACAUGGAAGACAUCAUAUGCUAAUGAACUUGUUCGACAUCUGAUCAUUGGUGUUACCGUGUUGGUUGUUGCUGUACCUGAAGGGCUUCCACUUGCUGUAACCCUGUCACUGGCAUACUCUGUCAAGAAAAUGAUGAAAGACAACAACCUGGUUAGGCAUCUUGAUGCCUGUGAAACUAUGGGAAAUGCUACUGCAAUUUGCUCUGAUAAGACAGGCACUCUUACCACUAACAGGAUGACAGUGGUACAAACAUAUAUAUGUGAAAAAUUAAGCAAAACUUUACCAAAAUUCUCUGAUAUUCCAGAGCAUGUGGCCAAUCUAAUGGUUCAAGCUAUAUCCAUCAACUGUGCCUAUACCUCACGUGUAAUGCCACCAGAUGAACCUGGAGAAUUGCCAAAGCAAGUUGGAAACAAGACAGAGUGUGCUCUUCUGGGAUUUGUUCAAGCCAUGGGCAAAAAUUACCAGACCGUAAGAGAUGACACACCAGAAGAGGUGUUCACAAGGGUGUACACCUUCAAUUCUGUGAGGAAGUCGAUGAGUACUGUGGUACCAAGACAGGGAGGUGGUUAUAGACUCUUUACCAAAGGAGCUUCAGAAAUAAUGUUAAAGAAAUGUGCAUUUAUCUACGGUCGUGAUGGACACCUGGAGAAGUUCACUAGAGAAAUGCAAGAUAGGCUUGUGCGACAGGUGAUAGAACCCAUGGCAUGUGAUGGUCUUCGUACCAUCUCCAUAGCGUAUAGAGAUUUUGUGCCAGGAAAGGCUGAAAUAAAUCAAGUUCACAUUGACAAUGACCCUAAUUGGGAUGAUGAGGAAAAUAUUGUCAACAACUUGACUUGCUUGUGUGUCGUGGGGAUUGAAGAUCCUGUUCGACCUGAGGUACCAGAUGCCAUAAGGAAGUGUCAGCGAGCUGGAAUCACUGUUCGGAUGGUGACUGGUGAUAAUAUAAACACUGCUAGGUCGAUAGCAUCGAAAUGUGGAAUUAUAAAACCCGGUGAUGACUUCCUUAUUUUGGAAGGCAAAGAAUUCAACAGGAGAAUAAGAGACAGCAAUGGAGAGGUUCAGCAACAUCUAUUGGAUAAAGUGUGGCCUAAGCUUAGGGUUUUAGCAAGGUCAUCACCAACAGACAAAUACACUCUUGUCAAGGGUAUUAUCGACAGCAAAAUAAGCGAUAGUAGAGAAGUAGUUGCUGUGACAGGAGAUGGAACUAAUGAUGGUCCUGCAUUGAAGAAGGCUGAUGUAGGAUUUGCCAUGGGUAUUGCUGGAACAGAUGUUGCAAAAGAAGCUUCAGAUAUCAUUCUGACAGAUGAUAAUUUCAGCAGUAUUGUCAAAGCUGUAAUGUGGGGCCGCAAUGUGUAUGACAGUAUAGCAAAGUUCCUACAGUUCCAGCUUACAGUUAAUGUGGUUGCUGUCAUUGUCGCUUUUAUAGGAGCUUGCGCUGUCCAAGACAGUCCACUCAAGGCUGUGCAGAUGCUGUGGGUGAAUCUGAUUAUGGACACACUGGCUUCAUUAGCUCUAGCAACAGAGAUGCCUACACCAGAUCUGCUUCUCCGGAAACCUUACGGAAGAACGAAACCUCUUAUUUCUAGAACAAUGAUGAAAAACAUUUUAGGCCAAGCAGUGUACCAGCUCUCUGUCAUUUUUGCACUCCUUUUUGUAGGAGAUAAAAUGCUAGACAUUCCAACAGGAAGAGAUUCACCCGUUGCUAGUCAACAUUUUACCAUUAUAUUUAAUACGUUUGUCAUGAUGACUUUAUUCAAUGAAAUAAAUGCUAGAAAAAUUCAUGGUCAAAGGAAUGUGUUUGAAGGAAUUUUUACAAAUCCAAUUUUCUACAGCAUUUGGAUUGGAACUUGCCUUGCUCAGGUCGUCAUCAUCCAGUUCGGAACAGUUGCAUUUUCUACUGCCAGUUUGACACUGGAACAGUGGUUAUGGUGCCUGUUCUUUGGGGUUGGGACUCUUCUCUGGGGCCAGCUAGUGACCACGAUACCAACUAGAAAAAUUCCAAAAAUACUGUCAUGGGGUCGUGGUCACCCAGAAGAAUAUACGGAGGCGAUAGCUCUUGGUGAAGAGAAGUUUGAUCCUGAUUCUCAGGAUGGCAAGAAGCCUCGUGCAGGCCAAAUUUUGUGGAUUCGUGGCCUUACAAGAUUACAGACCCAGCUGCGGGUUAUCAGGGCUUUCAAGUCUACACUGGAAGAUCUGGAGGAACGGCGCUCUGUACAUAGUUUACACAGCUUACACAGUUUGCGCAGUUCGCGAAGCCACACUGGGCCCCGGCCCCUGUCGGACAUCACUUUCAUAGACGAGGAUACGGUGCGGACACCACCUUCACCGGGAGCCCGUGGGGCCACCCGGCAGCUGGAGCCUGCACUGCAGCAGGCCGCCAUCACAGCGCCGUCUCCGUCGGGGGCCGAGACCCAGCCCGUACAGAGUACUGCAGACCGCUCACCCUCCCGUCCUCGGCCCGCGCUCCAGACACACCACGCACACCCGUCGCCUGCCCACUUGCAGAAUCUAUCACCACAAACGACUGAUGCGAGCCCCUCCCCAUCCGCGACACAACAGGUCCCACCUGAUUUACCCAAGCUGGUACACGAGACUAGCAUAUAAAUUCUGCAAUCAUUUUUAUCUAGUCUGAUGGCAUUGAGUUUACCUAAUUGGAGAGGAGUUCUCCCAGUGACCCCGUCCGUUUGCCUUUCACCUUCCACAGCUCGCUAGGGACCCCCGCGUCUGCUCUUGGGCGGGAGAUGCAGGUUUGUGGUGGUGAUGCUGUAGCUCCUUAACAUUAAUCUUUAUUUUUAGUUUAUUACUACUGUUAAUAGCAAUAGUGGUUAAAUGGUUACAUGAAUGUUCUUUUUAUCUGUAAGACAGAAUACGGGGAGGGAGAGUGUAACUGGGAGCACUGCAUGUCGGUCGGUUGAAGUCAGAGGGGAGAUUAUGGGAUGGGAGUGCCGCAACAUGCUCUUUACCCCACUCACCUUACCACUGUUUAUUUUUCUUCACUUUGUGUGUGUGUGUGUGUGUGUGUGUGUGUGUGUGUGUGUGUGUUUUCUGAGUCUGUGUGUCUGUCUGCUUCUCUGUCGGAAGAUCUUGUAUGUUAUCUCCAUCUGCAUUUCACUAGCGCAGAGAGAAAGAGAGAGAGAGAGAGAGAGAGAGAGAGAGAGAGAGAGAGUUUUUUUUAGUAUGCACCUAUUGCGGGAACAGCAUGUGUGACUACUUCUUUCUACCUAUUUCACUUUUCAGCAUAAUUUUACCUGUUUAUGUGUAACCUUCUGUUUCUUGAUUUUGCUCUUACUCUCUGUAGAUACGGAUGUGUGUUUGUGACAAUACUUAUUUGAUGGUCUUUGUUUUAAUGCCUGUUUUCUCAAUUCCAGCUGUUAAGUUCUGUACGGUCGGUUCUAGGGGGGCCAGGGCUGUCUGCAGCAGGAAACCUUAGUUCCUACUCGCUGUAGAUGUGCCAGCUGCAGUUUUGAUCCCUCCCAUUCGAUUAAUUUUUUUUUUUUCAGUUAUGAAACAUACUACUGUUUUUCUGACCAUUGUUACCCUUUACUCUUGAAGGUGAUAGGUGGUGAGUUGCAAGAACGUUUGAUUCCGGUCCCCUACAGCAAGAGCUCCACUGACCAAGCUAUAAGAGUGGUUAACGCUUUCCGUCAGGGCCUAGAUGCUCGAUACAGUGACAACCCCACAUUGGCUGAAGUUCUGCGGAA